rnacentral:rRNA from 1 species
CUCAGUAACGGCGAGUGAAGCGGCAACAGCUCAAAUUUGAAAUCUGGCCCUAGGCCCGAGUUGUAAUUUGCAGAGGAUGCUUUUGGUGCGGUCCUUCCAAGUUCCCUAGAACGGGACGCCAGAGAGGGUGAGAGCCCCGUACAGUUGGACACCAAGCCUUUGUAAAGCUCCUUCGACGAGUCGAGUAGUUUGGGAAUGCUGCUCAAAAUGGGAGGUAUAUUUCUUCUAAAGCUAAAUACCGGCCAGAGACCGAUAGCGCACAAGUAGAGUGAUCGAAAGAUGAAAAGCACUUUGAAAAGAGGGUUAAACAGCACGUGAAAUUGUUAAAAGGGAAGCGCUUGUGACCAGACUUGCGUCCGGUGAAUCACCCAGCUCUCGCGGCUGGGGCACUUCGCCGGCUCAGGCCAGCAUCAGCUCGCUGUCGGGGACAAAAGCUUCAGGAACGUAGCUCUCUUCGGGGAGUGUUAUAGCCUGUUGCAUAAUACCCUUCGGCGGGCUGAGGUACGCGCUCCGCAAGGAUGCUGGCAUAAUGGUCAUCAGCGACCCGUCUUGAAACACGGACCAAGGAGUCAACCUUAUGUGCGAGUGUUCGGGUGUCAAACCCCUACGCGUAAUGAAAGUGAACGCAGGUGAGAGCUUCGGCGCAUCAUCGACCGAUCCUGAUGUUCUCGGAUGGAUUUGAGUAAGAGCAUAUAGGGUUGGACCCGAAAGAAGGUGAACUAUGCGUGUAUAGGGU